UCAUCUUGUGCAGGAUCAAACGUGAAGC
rnacentral:piRNA from 1 species